rnacentral:rRNA from 1 species
CCUACGGGCGGCAGCAGUGGGGGAUAUUGCACAAUGGGGGAAACCCUGAUGCAGCGACGCCGCGUGAGUGAAGAAGUAUUUCGGUAUGUAAAGCUCUAUCAGCAGGGAAGAAAAUGACAGUACCUGACCAAGAAGCCCCGGCUAACUACGUUCCAGCACCCGUGGUAAUACGUAGGGGGCAGGCGUUAUCCGGAUGUACUGGGUGUAAAGGGGGCGUAGACGGUUAUGUAAGUCUGGAGUGAAAGCCCGGGGCCCAACCCCGGGACUGCUGUGGAAACUGUGUAACUGGAGUACAGGAGGGGCAGGCGGAAUUCCUGGUGUAGCGGUGAAAUGCGUAGAUAUCAGGAGGAACACCGGCGGCGAAGGCAGCCUGCUGGACUGAAACUGACGUUGAGGCUCGAAAGCGUGGGGAGCGAACAGGAUUAGAUACCCCAGUAGUC